rnacentral:misc_RNA from 1 species
AAGUCGUAACAAGGUUGGACAGCAAACUUAAUGAUCUUUCCGUGUGCACUCUCGCAAGGGAGCGCGCACUGGUUCAUUUGCUGAAGCCCCUCUAGAGCAGUGAACGAAUCGAGUCGACAGAAAAGUACGAGUGGAGCUCGCAAGGGCUAAUUUUCUGUUCACCAACUGAGGCUUUCGGGCCUCGACGAUUGCAUUACUGUGGAGGCUAAUUUCUUUACUACUGAGGUUCCCAACUCUGCCAAGGUAGUAAGGAGCAACCAUUUAACCUAUCUCACCCCCUUUUUGCUAGUUGACUUUUAUAUGUUGUUACUUGCGCUUUGCGCAUGGAGCACACGUUUAAUUAUUUGAACGUUAAAAAUACAACUCUUAGCAAUGGAUAUCUUGGUUCUC